CUCCAGUCCGCUUCUUUUCUAAGGGGUGUUUGAAAAGCUCGACCGGUGCACGCAGCAGAGGGAGUUCCUUCUGGAUCUCGGUUUUGCUUCUAUUUAUUUCUUUUGUCAAAAGUAAAUAUGAGGCAUUUCAGAAGGCAAAGCGUGUCGGUUCUCAUAAUCUCUCAUAUUGCUCCCCCUAACCCCCACGUAACUUUGGAACGUGAUAACUUCUCCUCAAUUUUAUGUCUUAGGGGUUGUCAGACAUGAGGGGUCAACUCGAAGUCUGCAGAGGAAGAGUACUUAUGGGGCGUCCCUGAAAUGGCAGCAAACCUGGGUUGGAAUCACUGAUCCUUUUGGAUGCUUUUUUCAUCCAUGGCCUCAGUGUCCAUUGGAAUUAUGCUAAUCUGAGUGACUUCUUUAGAAUGAAACGUGACAGUUUUUUUUUCUUUUCUUCUAAGAGUAAUUGCUAUCAUAUGGGAAAGGUGAAUUUUAAAGUGGUUGGCACUGGUGGUUCCCGUGGAACUCUAUCUUCUAAUGAUCCUUCUUUACCCAAAGCAAAAAUCAGGCUCAAUUAAAAAGUUUCAUUUGAACUAAUUUUGAAAGUCGUGAAACUCCUCGCUUCUCAAAAAAUUUCCAGUAUGUACUUACUUGGGAUAACUAAAAUUUCACACUACUAUUGUAAACUUCUCAGUGGUCUUUUCAACAAGUGUUUGUAAAACCUUGAAAAUGGCAGAUGCAUUUCAAGUUGGGGAAGGUGAGAUAUUUCGAAGAUCAGAAUUUUUGAGAAACGUAUUCAUUCUCUUAAUAAAUGAGAUACUGACACCUAAUAAAAAUGUGAAUUUGAGAAAUAGUAUGAAUAGCAUGGAUUUUUUUCGUAAUAAUCGAAGGAUCUUAUGCUGCCAAUGAACCUUGAUCUUUGGCAACUCUAAGUCUAGAGUAUAUGAAGUUAUUUAAAUUUGAUUAAAUAAUUUGGGACACAAGAUACAGGUGGUAGAGCUUCCCCCCUCACAGUAUAAUUGAAUGCAAUAUUGUGGCCCUGAAUCCUCAGUUUGUACAUGGGUAUGCCUACAAUUUUUCCGACUGCCGUGGCCCAUAUAAAUUUUUUUUCUUGUAGAAUACCAAACAAGUCAAUGAACAGUAUGUGUUUAGUAUGGAUAUGAAAACUUUUAAAUGGCCAUUAUGAAUAAUGCUUCAGGUAUUUUCUCUUAUGAAAAACUAUGCUGUUAAAUUUUAAAUUAUUGGGGUUUUAAAGUAGUUUUAAAAAUUGACAUUGUGAAUAUUUCAAAAUGGUUUAUGAAGUGUAAUUGUUAACAUGUAAAAGUCUGGUUGGCCAAGAACAAGAAAAAAAUUAGGUCGUUGUACAUUAUGAAAAAAUAAUUUUAAAAACUCUCAUGCUUUAAUUAUUAUAGAUGAGUUGCUGGAUUUAUUUUUGUGAAGUUAUAAAUCAAUAGCCAACACUUUUUUCUUAUUCUUAAUCAUUUCACUUCUCCAGACUAACGUACAGAAUAGUGUAAAUCCAUGGAAAAUAGAGUGUUUCCCUGUAAAUGUUAAUACUCCUGAAUUCAUUUAAUGUGAGAUAAAGAAAUUAUUACCUAAAUAACAUAACUGGGUAUAGUAAUGCCCCUAACAAAGACUUUUAGAUAAGCCUGAAUAAAGACUGUCUGAAUAAGAAAGGAAUGAAAACUUGUAUAGAAUUUGGUUUAGAAAGUACAAACUAUAAAUGAAAAGAGAUGGAAUAUAGGGUAUAGACAGUGAUCAGUUUUGAGUUUAGAUGUCUAGAUUAAAUUCAUAGGUCCAUAGAGAUGGAUGGUAUAUAGUAUGCUUAAUGCAAAAACUUCAACACUUAAAUCAAAAAAUAAAAUUUGAAAAAGAUCAAUGAUGUGAAUUUGGCUGUUGUAACAUCAGGUCCUUGAGGAUGGAGUAGUUGAUAUAGUAAAA